rnacentral:snoRNA from 1 species
GACCUCUCAGGGUCGCUUCUGGAGAGUUUCAAGUCCUCUACCAGUCUCGACUACAGGAGGGAGAGUCAGGCUGAGGCAGACCCAUUCCAUUCCUAGCUUGGGCAGUGGCUAGCGAGUGGAAGGCAAUCUGCUCCAAGU